CUUGAAACACGGACCAAGGAGUCUAGCAUGUGCGCGAGUCAUUGGGACUUGCGAAACCUAAAGGCGAAAUGAAAGUGAAGGCGUGCCUCGCGCGCGCCGAGGGAGGAUGGGCCGCGCCACGGCGCGGCCCCGCACUCCCGGGGCGUUUCGUUCUCAUCGCGAGAUGAGGCGCACCCAGAGCGUACACGCUGGGACCCGAAAGAUGGUGAACUAUGCCUGGUCAGGACGAAGUCAGGGGAAACCCUGAUGGAGGUCCGUAGCGAUUCUGACGUGCAAAUCGAUCGUCGGAACUGGGUAUAGGGGCGAAAGACUAAUCGAACCAUCUAGUAGCUGGUUCCCUCCGAAGUUUCCCUCAGGAUAGCUGGCGCUCGCUUUGCGAGUCUCAUCCGGUAAAGCGAAUGAUUAGAGGCAUUGGGGUCGAAACGGCCUCAACCUAUUCUCAAACUUUAAAUGGGUGAGAUCUCCGGCUUGCUCGAAACAUGAAGCCGCGAGAUGAUAUUAAUUCGGAUCAGGGUGCCAAGUGGGCCAUUUUUGGUAAGCAGAACUGGCGCUGUGGGAUGAACCAAACGCAGAGUUAAAGCGCCAAAAUCGACGCUUAUGGGAUACCAUGAAAGGCGUUGGUAACUUAAGACAGCAGGACG
rnacentral:rRNA from 1 species